rnacentral:rRNA from 1 species
AGUGAAGAGGGAAGAGCCCAAGAUUGAAAGCUGGCGUCUUCGGCGUCCGCAUUGUAAUCUCAAGAAGUGUUUUCCGCUUCGGACCAAGCCUAAGUCCCCUGGAAAGGGGCAUCAUAGAGGGUGAUAAUCCCGUACAUGGCUUGGAGCGCCCGAGGCUUUGUGAUACGCUUUCUAAGAGUCGAGUUGUUUGGGAAUGCAGCUCAAAAUGGGUGGUAAAUGCCAUCUAAGGCUAAAUAUUGGGGAGAGACCGAUAGCGAACAAGUACAGUGAUGGAAAGAUGAAAAGAACUUUGAAAAGAGAGUUAAACAGUACGUGAAAUUGCCAAAAGGGAAGGGUAGGAGGUCAGAGAUGCGGCCUGGGAUUCAGCCUUGCUUUUGCUUGGUGUUUUUCCCAGAUUGCAGGCCAACGUCGGUUUUGGGCACUGGAGAAGGGUAGGAGGAACGUGGCACCCCUCGGGGUGUGUUAUAGCCUCCUACUGGAUACAGCGACCGAGACCGAGGACAGCAGCGUACUCGCAAGAGCGGGCCUUCGGGCACCUUUACGCUUAGGGCGUUGGCAUAAUGGCCCUCUACCACCCGUCUGAA